CUCCCAGCUAGUGUAAACACGAGGGACAUGGCCCUUUGUAACGGCGAAGAAGAGAAAAUGCUUCAUGCACUCUUCCAUUUUUUGUCAAGUAGCACAAACCCUGUUAUUUCUUUUUCAAUUUCAUUGCAUUAUAUCUUGAAUUGUUGAAAGUUUAGGUUGUUGCUGAAAUAAUUAUUCAGCUAAUUUUGUUUUGCUGGAAAUCAUAUUUGGAGAAUUGGAGUUUAAGUUUUUGUUGCUGGAAGUUAUUAUAAUUGAAUUUGUUGGUAGAAGUAGAAUUUGUUGCCGUAACUAGAAUUUGAUGCUGAACAUAUCACAGGGUAAAUUUUUUUGUUGCUGGAAGUAGAAUUUGUUGUUGCAAGUCUUUCGUUUUUUCUUUUUUUUAGAAUCUUAAAAAUCAUGUUGCAUGUGGUUUUUUAGAAUUGUGGAAGCUGAAUACUAGGGAUUUGGAAUGGUGUUUCUUCAUUGUGCACGGUAUUCAGCUUACAGAUUUUCAUUGUGCAAAUUUACAACUUUGAUCAUAUUAUAGAUUUUCAUUGCAUAUGAAUCUAGCAUGCUAAAAGGAUUUUCGUAACAACUCUGCAUAAUAAGUUAGCUUACAGAUUCAGAUUGAAGCUGAAUUCAUAGCUGCUGCUGCAAACUGAGAAAUUGGAUAGACAUCUUAGCAAUUUCUGAGAUGCUUGUUUUUGCUUUUUUGUUCACUUUUUAGCUGUGGGAAAAUUCAAAAUUGACUCUUCGACCCAAGACACUGGUAAUUAGGGGAGAUGUCAAUAAGCUGCAAGGUUUGAUUGGCUUCUUGCUUUGCAUUCGCUCAACUAAGUGCAACCAUACCUUAUCUGCUCCAUCCACUGCUUUGAUAGCAACAUAGGGUUCCAACAAUAUUCAAUUUGGCCUAACUUUCAUUAGUUUAUAAGUCCUUAGAUUAAUAAUUCUCAGUUUCUCACAUUAAAAGUUUUAAAAAGAAAAUUCAGUCCAAUUGGUAAGUAUGUGUGACUUAGAAGUUAGACUUUACUACUAAGAGCACAAUGGAAGGGGAGAGAAGUAAAGUUUGUAAAGAAAAAAUGUUUGUCAUGGUGCUAUGGCUUAACUAUGUAACUGCACUUGUUUAGUGUCUCAGUUUGAUUUUGCCACUCCAUUGGUAAUGGUGGCUCUUGCUGGAUACUUAAAAGUUCUUGAUUUUUCAUCCCUGUAUGUAACUUACAUUGCAUCAAGUUUCUUUGAGAGGCUAAUAGUUCCUUUUAAUUUGUCAAGGAGAGUUUUCUAUUCUUAUGCAUGCUCAUUGUUUUGUAAAUGGGUUUAUGUAUGUUCCUCUUUAACAAUUUCUUUUUAAUUAUAAUUUUGCAUCUGUUUUUUUAAUCUGCAGACAAGGACAGCAGGAUUUCAUAAUCUGCGUGUGUAUCAAUCAUUGAAAAGGUUAUCAAAGCAUGAAGGAUUUCUAGGACUAUAUAACUCUCUUCUUGUGAAUCGCUUGUCGGUAAAUUCCAAAGCAUCUAGGAAAUAUUACUACUCUCACAUACCUGAUGCUGGAAGCAAACAAUUUUUCUGGAGUUGUUCUACCUGAACUUGGGAAGCUGAUCAACUUGCUGACCUUGUAAGUAGGGGGUGGCAAUGGGUAGGGUUUGGAUUCAAUCCUAACCCUACCCGCGGGUUGACAAUAUUCCAAUCCUAACCAUACCCGCUCUUAAUCCGCGGGUACCCGACCCUACCCGCGAGUUAUAAAAAAUAUACAACAUUAUUAUAUAACUUGAUGAUAAUUUAAAAUAGAAUU